GAUGAACGCUGGCGGCGUGCCUAAUACAUGCAAGUCGAGCGAACAGACGAGGAGCUUGCUCCUCUGACGUUAGCGGCGGACGGGUGAGUAACACGUGGAUAACCUACCUAUAAGACUGGGAUAACUUCGGGAAACCGGAGCUAAUACCGGAUAAUAUAUUGAACCGCAUGGUUCAAUAGUGAAAUACGGUUUUGCUGUCACUUAUAGAUGGAUCCGCGCCGCAUUAGCUAGUUGGGAAGGUAACGGCUUACCAAGGCAACGAUGCGUAGACGAACUGAGAGGGUGAUCGGCCACACUGGAGCUGAGACACGGUCCAGACUCCUACGAGAGGCAGCAGUAGGGAAUCUUCCGCAAUGGGCGAAAGCCUGACGGAGCAACGCCGAGUGAGUGAUGAAGGUCUUCGGAUCGUAAAACUCUGUUAUUAGGGAAGAACAAAUGUGUAAGUAACUAUGCACGUCUUGACGGUACCUAAUCAGAAAGCCACGGCUAACUACGUG
rnacentral:rRNA from 1 species